rnacentral:lncRNA from 1 species
UGUUCGUCAAACUUUUGGCUGCCAGAGAGGCCUGUCAUGCUCUUUUGUGCUGUGGCAGAAUUCCUCAGUUUGGUGUCAGUUUUGCCGACAAGUUGUACAACACCGGGUUUUGCACGGCGUGUCCCUUGAGUAGGACCCCGGCUUUGAUACCUCAACACUACGGGAGAUGGAUAAUAAUAAUGCAGUUGUUGUUAGGUAAAAGCUUUCCAUACAACUGUAGAGCCACACCGUGCUGGCUACAAUCGCCACAGGACUGCCGCGGCAGACCGCGGCAUCCAUGCAUGCAUUUCCGAAGCGGCAUGAAGCCUU